CUUGGGGCCUCAAUGGGGAAGCAUCACAAUGCAGGUGAUUGUGUCAAGUGCCAGGGAAAUCAGGAGAUAAGUUCAAAUGGGUAUAAACAUUUAUUGCAAGCUUAAGCUCUGAAUCUGAACUACUAACAGUCCAAGAAAAUUGGCAGUAGAUAAGAGUCAAAGGAAUUCAAGGUAAUUAGAGAGAUUUCCAUACUUGCAAUAUUCUACAAUGACCAUCAGAGGACCUGUAGACAGGAUCAAAACAAAGUUUAUGAAAUGAUAACACAUGGGAACAUUGUAGGAAUAAGCAAAAGCAAGUAAACAUCUCUCUUGCAAACACAGAAGAAAAUGGGCAAUGGAUAAAAGAAGAAGGAAUCCAGGGUCAGAAAACUGGGGCCAGGAAGUGAGAAACGAACACUGGCUACUGGCCAUAUUUUCUGUUUAAUGGGACAGACACCAGCUCUUACUCGCUGAUGGGUGUUUGUGCAGAUGUUACACCCCUCCCUGCUAUCCCUGUUAGCGAUCUAAGGUCUUACAGUUUGUCUCUCCAUCCUUCUGAACAUGCCUCCUUGCCCCACAAACAGCAGUUAUCUGAUUAAUUAGCACCAUUAGUUGCCAUCAAAGACAUCGCCGUUUCCAUUAAUCAAGAGACUAACGUCAGAGCUUGGCCCAGAUAUGAGAGCUAUUUAGCUUCAGCCAUUACCGACUUGGUUGCUGACUUUCCCACAUCAAACCAUGCUGAAGUCAAUCUGAAGAACCAAUACAAUGGAAUGUUAUGUAGAAAGAUGCACAGGUUAAGGAUCAUGGGUUCUUGAAACGAGGUGGUCAAUGAAAUGGUCAAAAAGAACAGGCUCUGCCUCUUUGGGGCACACCUGCAACAUCACAACGCACAUUCAGAAGGAUUGAUCCUUGCAUUGCAGUGGCACAAUGAAGUCUACAUUCAUUGGCAUCCUUCAGUCUCAAGAGACUAUGGUAUCGUGCUCUGGAAAGAGGUCCUAAAACAGCAUCUAG